rnacentral:lncRNA from 1 species
AUCAUCAAAUGCUGCAAGACUAGCCUAUCGAAUUAUAAAUUUAUUAUAAUGAUAUGGUAUUGAUAUGACAUGUGAUUCAAACUAAUGCUAAUUGUAUCUUCUUCUUUUUUUUGAUAAGACGAUCGCUUCAUACAACUCUAGUAUGAAUACAAUCCAAAAGAUCAGAAAGGAGAAUAUCACGAAAAAACAAAGGUAAACAGUAAGCAUCCAUCCAAAUGCCGUA